rnacentral:rRNA from 1 species
UACGUAGGGUGCAAGCGUUGCCCGGAUUUAUUGGGCGUAAAGGGCGCGUAGGCGGCCACCGCAAGUCGACUGUGAAAUCUCCGGGCUUAACCCGGAAAGGUCAGCCGAUACUGCGGGGCUAGAGUGCAGAAGGGGCAACUGGAAUUCUCGGUGUAGCGGUGAAAUGCGUAGAUAUCGAGAGGAACACCUGCGGCGAAGGCGGGUUGCUGGGCUGACACUGACGCUGAAGCGCGAAAGCUAGGGGAGCGAACGGG